UUUGUUUUUGUAAUGGAAAAAAAGGAAUCUUGAGCUUGAAUUGAGAGUGAAGAGCCGGGAUAUUGCAAGAAUCUGAUGAGGCAAUGUCCUAAAAUCUAAACAAAUCGAAUAGAAAAAUUCCGAAUAAAUCAUAUUCUGGAGCCGAGACGAGCUUAAGAAGAUCAGAGAUGCACUCACACACUUUCAUGGACAAGCAAAUCCCUGAGCUUUCAAAAUCUCAAACAGGCGAUUUCCAUGGCUUCACUCCCUCUCCAUACGAAGAUGAAUCUGAAGAUGAAGAUCGCUCCUUUCAUUUUCAUCCAGUUCAUCAUCGUUACUCUCGGGAGAGAAUUCCCGAUUCUAUCCACCUCGCAGGGUGGGGUUCCACGGAUCGCUGUGAUUCUUCCAAUGAGAAGGUCGAGACUCGCUACCAUGCUGGAUUGAUUUCCGCUAUCAAUUGGAAGAUAAAGGAACACGUUGACAAUGUCCUCCUUGCCGCGGAAGGCAUCAGUGCAAGACUAUUUUAGUUGGAGAGUAGAACAAAACGAACUGAUAAUUCUGUUGAUGACUUGAGGGACUCUAUUGAAUAUAAUAAUGGGAGAACAGAUGCAAAACUCAGGGAGAUUGAGAAUUUUCUGGCAGAGAUUCAUGAAAGCAAUAAAAGGAUAAGGUUAUAUGCAGGCACAGACGGAUUACACACUAUUCUUCAAGCACAAAGAGGGUAAAGUGCCUAUCUUAAUAGUUUGUAUUGAUGAUAUUAUUAUAAUAGGAGAUGAUAUUGAGGAAAUUCCUUAAGUCAAGAAAGAUCCUGCUUCAAAAUACGAAAUGAAAGAUUUGUGUAAAAUUUAAUACUUUCUUGGUAUGAAGAUAGUCGAAGCUGAGAGAAAAUUUCAGUGUCUCAAAAAAAGUAUGUCUUUGAUUUAUUAAAGGAUUGGUAUGUUGGGUUGCAAACUUGCGGACACUCCUAUAAAUUCCAAUGUGAAAUUCGGCGAUUUAAAAACAAGCAAAUCAGUCGAUAAAGGAAAGUUUCAAAGAUUAGUUAGCAAACUAAUUUACCUUUCACAUGCUAAACCUGAUAUUAGUUUUGUUGUAAGUUAUGUCAACCAAUUUAUACAUGUACCCACAGAGGAACACAUGACUGCAGAUACAUGAGUUUUAAAAUAUCUAAAACAAUCUCAAAGAAAAGGUUUAUUCUUCAAAGAAAAUCUCAAAUUGGAGUAUUGAAACAUUUACAGAUGCAUAUUGAUUAGGAUCGGUCACAAAUAAGAGAUCAACUUCAGGGUGUUGUUCGCUUGUUUGGGGAAACUUAGUCACUUGGAGAAGUAAAAAACAGACUGUGAUUACAAGAAGCAGUGCAGAAACUGAGUUGAGAUCCUUGACUCACAAUGUGUGUGAGAUAUGGCUGAGAAAUUUACUGGGAGAAUUAAAGCAACAAGGAAAUGAACUACUAGAGCUAUACUGUGAUAACAAAACUGCUAUCAGUAUCAUUCAUAACCCAGUUUAUCAUGAUAGAACUAAACACGUUGGAAUAAACUGUCAUUUCAUUAAAGAGAAGAUAGAAGAUGGGAUGGGGUCUAUGAUCUGUGUUCUAACUUUAAGUCAAAUAGUUGAUAUUUUCAUUAAAAGUUUCUAGAGACCUGAUUUUGAGAGAUUAGUUGACAAGCUUGAACUCCACAGCAUCUACAGCCAAGCUUGAGGGGGGGGGUGAAGGAAAGUCAAUUAAUUAUUUAUUCUAUAUUUAAGAUGAUUGACUAUAAUUUCAUACCUAAUUAUUUAUCUUACAUUUAAGAAGAUUGAUUGUAAUUUUAGGAUGUAGGAAUAUUCUGUAAUAUCUUGUAAAUUUUCUAUAUUUAAAAUGAUUAAAUUAGGAUGAUAGAAUCUCAUUAAUUAGGGCCUGUAUAUUUUUCUUACUCGGCUAUUUAAUGCCGUUGUACGUUAUUCUCUUUUCAAGUGUGAAGAUUAUUCAAAUCAGUACAAUGUAGAAAUAAUAUUUUUUUCCUGCUAGUCUCUUUUAAAUACCUUUCCAAAAACCAGUUUCAUAAAACUCCUGGUUGUUCUCCCAAACACCUCUUCUCUUCCACAAACUCCACCUCGCUUCCACCACCCUUUUCCACAGCCUGUCACCCUUAUGCAAAUAUCUCCACAGCCAUUUGCCAUGAAGGGCCCUAUUCACAUGCACAAGUGAUUUAAUUCCCAGCCCACCAUCUCUAAUUGGAUUUUUCACCUCCUUCCAAUUCACAAGGUGCAUUCUCCUUCUCUUCUCAUCGGCACCCAAAAGAAAUCUAUGCUGAAUUUUUUCUAGCUUUUUAGCAACAUGAACUGGAACCUUAAGGGCAGAGAAAUAGUAAAUAGCAACAUUAGAAAGAACACUCUUCAUCAAUGUAAGACGGCCACCCUUGGAGAAGAAAUUCCGCUUUCAUAUACAUAAUCUCUUCUAAAACAUUUCAACUACCGGAAACCAAAUGCUUUUCUCUUUGUAUUUCGCACCCAAUGGUAUGCCUAAAUACUUAAUAGGAAGAAUGGAAGAUUUACACCCCAGGACAUCAGCAAGAUCUCCCAAAUAAUAAUUUCAGAUUUAUUUAAAUUAAUAUUGAGAUGCGAGAUAGCCUGAAAACAUAAUAGAAUAGUACCAAGCUUCUGCACUAUUUUCUUCUUAGCUUGACAAAAGAUCAGAGUAACAUCUGCAAAAAAUAAGUUAAGGUGCCUUAACUUAGUUAUUUGGUAGAUUACUUGUUAUUAUUCAAAUAUUGAGAUAUUAUUUUGAUUAUUUAGAUUCAAGAUCUCCAAGUUUUGUUCUUAAUAAAAUUUCUCUAAGUUUUCUCUCCAAGUUCUCUUUAUAUUGAGAUAUUAUUUUGCUUAUCAAGAUCCAAGAUCUCCAAUUUUUGCUUGAAAUUUCUCUAGGUGUUUCUCUUCAACUUCUCUUUGUCCUACAUCAUGUAUGUUCAUAUAAAGUUUAAGAUAUCUUGGAGGGAAUAAAAUUAUGGAUGUAUUUUCAGUUAAGUUUAACACUUAACUUCCAUCUUAAGGAACCUAAAAUUUUGCGUUUCUUAACAAGAUAGGUUAUAAAGGAAGUUGCAGUGAAAUUCUGCAACUUUCUUAUCUGACUUUUCAGUAUCUAGGCCCAUAACCAUAUUCAUGACAAGUGAACUUACCAAAUUAUGUCAAUCUUUUCUCCACAUUUCUAAUUUUUAUUUUGAAGCAAUGAUCAGAAGACAUAUUAAUUAUUGAACUUGCUUGCCAUACUUGAAGGUUACCAUCCAUUAGGCUUGACUCUCUUGGAUGUCAUUGCAGAUCAUUUCUUAAUUUCUGACAAACAACCCAUCUGUGCAAAUUUGUUCUUAUACUAUGAGGUGGCUUGGUGGUUAUGGUGUGAACUUUUUGGUCCUUUUAGACGUGUGGGUGUUUGCGCUCCUAUUGUUGAGGGUUUCUUGUCCAUUCCAUCA